rnacentral:rRNA from 1 species
UGGGGAAUAUUGGACAAUGGGCGAAAGCCUGAUCCAGCCAUGCCGCGUGUGUGAAGAAGGUCUUCGGAUUGUAAAGCACUUUAAGUUGGGAGGAAGGGCAGUAAGCGAAUACCUUGCUGUUUUGACGUUACCGACAGAAUAAGCACCGGCUAACUCUGUGCCAGCAGCCGCGGUAAUACAGAGGGUGCAAGCGUUAAUCGGAAUUACUGGGCGUAAAGCGCGCGUAGGUGGUUCAUUAAGUUGAAUGUGAAAGCCCCGGGCUCAACCUGGGAACUGCAUCCAAAACUGGCGAGCUAGAGUAGGGCAGAGGGUGGUGGAAUUUCCUGUGUAGCGGUGAAAUGCGUAGAUAUAGGAAGGAACACCAGUGGCGAAGGCGACCACCUGGGCUCAUACUGACACUGAGGUGCGAAAGCGUGGGGAGCAAACAGG